UGCCCUAGUAACGGCGAGUGAAGCGGCAACAGCUCAAAUUUGAAAUCUGGCGUCUUUGGCGUCCGAGUUGUAAUUUGCAGAGGGCGCUUUGGCAUUGGCAGCGGUCCAAGUUCCUUGGAACAGGACGUCACAGAGGGUGAGAAUCCCGUACGUGGUCGCUAGCCUUUACCGUGUAAAGCCCCUUCGACGAGUCGAGUUGUUUGGGAAUGCAGCUCUAAAUGGGAGGUAAAUUUCUUCUAAAGCUAAAUACUGGCCAGAGACCGAUAGCGCACAAGUAGAGUGAUCGAAAGAUGAAAAGCACUUUGGAAAGAGAGUUAAAAAGCACGUGAAAUUGUUGAAAGGGAAGCGCUUGCAGCCAGACUUGCCUGUAGUUGCUCAUCCGGGUUUUUACCCGGUGCACUCUUCUACGGGCAGGCCAGCAUCAGUUUGGGCGGUUGGAUAAAGGUCUCUGUCAUGUACCUCCUCUCGGGGAGAACUUAUAGGGGAGACGACAUGCAACCAGCCCGGACUGAGGUCCGCGCAUCUGCUAGGAUGCUGGCGUAAUGGCUGUAAGCGGCCCGUCUUGAAACACGGACCAAGGAGUCUAACAUCUAUGCGAGUGUUUGGGUGUCAAGCCCGAGCGCGUAAUGAAAGUGAACGGAGGUGGGAACCUUUCGGGGUGCACCAUCGACCGAUCCUGAUGUCUUCGGAUGGAUUUGAGUAAGAGCAUAGCUGUUGGGACCCGAAAGAUGGUGAACUAUGCUUGAAUAGGGUGAAGCCAGAGGAAACUCUGGUGGAGGCUCGCAGCGGUUCUGACGUG
rnacentral:rRNA from 1 species